CACAGACAUGAAAAGAUGUGAGACGCAGCAGAUCCUUCACCACCAAAUAAAAUGUUGCGGAGAGUUGAUAGUCCUGAAAACAAAUACAGUGACAGCACAGGUCACAGUAAGGCCAAAAAUGUGCAUACUCCCAGAGUUAGAGAGAGGGGUGGUGGGACCAAUUACUCUCCACAAGAAAAUUCACAUAACCACAGUGCUCUUCAUAGUUUAAAUUCACAUUCUUCUAAUCCAAGCAAUAAUCCAAGCAAAACUUCAGAUGCACCUUAUGAUUCUGCAGAUGACUGGUCAGAGCAUAUUAGCUCUCCUGGGAAAAAAUACUACUACAGUUGUUGAACAGAAGUUUCUCAGUGGGAAAAACCAAAAGAGUGGCUUAAAAGAGAACAGAAACAAAAAGAAGCAAACAAGAUGGCAGUUAAUAGCUUCCCAAAAGAUAGGGAUUACAGAAGAGAGGUGAUGCAAGCAACAGCGGCUAGUGGGUUUACCAGUGGAAAAUCUACAUCAGGAGACAAAUCCUUAUCACAUUCUUGCGCAACUUCUACAUCUUCUGCCUCUGGACUGAAUCCCACAUCUGCACCACCCACAUCUGCUUCAGCAGUUCCUGUUUCUCCUGCUCCAAAUCACCAAUACCUCUAUUACUCCAGGACCCAAAUCUUCUUAGACAAUUGCUUCCUGCUUUGGCAGCCACAUUAUAGCUUAAUAAUUCUAAUAUGGACAUAUCUAAAAUAAAUGAAGUUCUUACAGCCGCUGUGACACAAGCCUCACUGCAGUCUAUAAUUCAUAAGUUUCUUAGCGCGGGACCAUCUGCGUUCAAGAUAACAUCUCUGAUUUCUCCGAUUGUUCAGCUUUCUACACAAGCCCAGCUAUCUAAUCACUCUCCAAUGUCUUUAACAUCUGAUGCAUCAUCCCCAAGAUCCUACGUGUCUCCAAGAAUAAGCACACCUCAAACUAACACAGUCCCUAGCAAGCCUUUGAUUAGUACUCCUCCUGUUUCAUCACAGCCAAAGGUUACUACUCCAGUUGUUUAA